AAUAACCUGGACCUUGCAUGUUCUCUGUCAUGAUUCUCAGGGGACCUGGUGAUACUGACGCAUCAACCGAAAACACAGGUCUCCUGGAAAGCCUAGCCCGGGUCUUUGCACUGUCCUACAGCCAGAAAGUCGUUUGCAGAGUCUUUCAUAGAGCUUGGAGAUACUGAAAAAGGCUUGGUACAUUGCACAGCAUUUAAGUAUUGAGGCAUGAGUUCACAUACAAGCUGGAAAAAAAAAAAACAGUGAAGGCUAUUUCCAGGCAGAGGGAACAGCAUGGACAAAGUUACAUGGGAAUGAGGAGGUGUUCCCAGUGCUGGGGUGGCUACUAAGAAACAUUUCAGACUGCUUCCUGUGAGGGUUCCCUGCAUUAAACAGAUGUUUGAGGAAUCAACUGAGGAGAAGACAAAGAAUCUAGAUCCAUCCAAGACAACAGACAAUAGCUCUGUGUGCCAUGUCUGGGAGAAGAAGCAGGCCAGGAGAUGUGUGGCUGAGUGAUAUAAACCUAUUUUUGGUUCACAGCUGGAGAGGAAUUUUGUCACAGGAUGAAAUGUGCUUCAAGUCUCACCCAUAUCUGAUUGAGAUGAUACACGUACGAGGCUUUGGACUUUGGACUUUAGAGUUGACGCUGGAAUAAGGUAAGAUUUUGGGGGCUGUUGGGAUGGAGUUAAUGGACUUUGCAUGUGAGGAAGGCAUGAAUUUAGGGGGCCAAGGACUGAAUGUUUGUGUCCUCCCCAAAUUCAUAUAUUGAAGCCCUAAGCUCCCAAUGUGAUGAUAUUUGGAGUUGGGGCCUUUGGGAGGUAAUUAGGUGAUAAGGGUGGAGCCCCUCAUGAAUGAGGUUAGUGCUGUUAUAAAAAGAGACAUGAGAGAUGAUCUCUCUUUGCCCUGGAGGAACAUAGCUGGAAGGCAGGCAUCUGUAAACCAGGAAGAAGACCUUCAUCAGAAAUGGAACUGGACUUGAUCUUGAACUUCCCAGCCUCCAGAACCGUGAGAAAUAAAUUUCUGUUGUUUAAACCACCCACCCUAUGGUGUUUUGUUACAGCAGCUUAAGCUGACCAAGACAGUAAUAAAGUGCCACGCUAGCCCUGAACUGCUUAA